UGGCGGCGUGCCUAAUACAUGCAAGUCGAACGAACUCUGGUAUUGAUUGGUGCUUGCAUCAUGAUUUACAUUUGAGUGAGUGGCGAACUGGUGAGUAACACGUGGGAAACCUGCCCAGAAGCGGGGGAUAACACCUGGAAACAGAUGCUAAUACCGCAUAACAACUUGGACCGCAUGGUCCGAGCUUGAAAGAUGGCUUCGGCUAUCACUUUUGGAUGGUCCCGCGGCGUAUUAGCUAGAUGGUGGGGUAACGGCUCACCAUGGCAAUGAUACGUAGCCGACCUGAGAGGGUAAUCGGCCACAUUGGGACUGAGACACGGCCCAAACUCCUACGGGAGGCAGCAGUAGGGAAUCUUCCACAAUGGACGAAAGUCUGAUGGAGCAACGCCGCGUGAGUGAAGAAGGGUUUCGGCUCGUAAAACUCUGUUGUUAAAGAAGAACAUAUCUGAGAGUAACUGUUCAGGUAUUGACGGUAUUUAACCAGAAAGCCACGGCUAACUACGUGCCAGCAGCCGCGGUAAUACGUAGGUGGCAAGCGUUGUCCGGAUUUAUUGGGCGUAAAGCGAGCGCAGGCGGUUUUUUAAGUCUGAUGUGAAAGCCUUCGGCUCAACCGAAGAAGUGCAUCGGAAACUGGGAAACUUGAGUGCAGAAGAGGACAGUGGAACUCCAUGUGUAGCGGUGAAAUGCGUAGAUAUAUGGAAGAACACCAGUGGCGAAGGCGGCUGUCUGGUCUGUAACUGACGCUGAGGCUCGAAAGUAUGGGUAGCAAACAGGAUUAGAUACCCUGGUAGUCCAUACCGUAAACGAUGAAUGCUAAGUGUUGGAGGGUUUCCGCCCUUCAGUGCUGCAGCUAACGCAUUAAGCAUUCCGCCUGGGGAGUACGGCCGCAAGGCUGAAACUCAAAGGAAUUGACGGGGGCCCGCACAAGCGGUGGAGCAUGUGGUUUAAUUCGAAGCUACGCGAAGAACCUUACCAGGUCUUGACAUACUAUGCAAAUCUAAGAGAUUAGACGUUCCCUUCGGGGACAUGGAUACAGGUGGUGCAUGGUUGUCGUCAGCUCGUGUCGUGAGAUGUUGGGUUAAGUCCCGCAACGAGCGCAACCCUUAUUAUCAGUUGCCAGCAUUAAGUUGGGCACUCUGGUGAGACUGCCGGUGACAAACCGGAGGAAGGUGGGGAUGACGUCAAAUCAUCAUGCCCCUUAUGACCUGGGCUACACACGUGCUACAAUGGAUGGUACAACGAGUUGCGAACUCGCGAGAGUAAGCUAAUCUCUUAAAGCCAUUCUCAGUUCGGAUUGUAGGCUGCAACUCGCCUACAUGAAGUCGGAAUCGCUAGUAAUCGCGGAUCAGCAUGCCGCGGUGAAUACGUUCCCGGGCCUUGUACACACCGCCCGUCACACCAUGAGAGUUUGUAACACCCAAAGUCGGUGGGGUAACCUUUUAGGAACCAGCCGCCUAAGGUGGGACAGAUGAUUAGGGUGAAGUCGUAA
rnacentral:rRNA from 2 species